rnacentral:rRNA from 1 species
CCUACGGGUGGCAGCAGUGAGGAAUAUUGGUCAAUGGACGAGGGUCUGAACCAGCCAAGUAGCGUGACGGAUGACUGCCCUAUGGGUUGUAAACUUCUUUUAUCAAGGAAUAAAACGAGCCACGUGUGCCUUUUUGCGUGUACUUUAUGAAUAAGGAUCGGCUAACUCCGUGCCAGCAGCCGCGGUAAUACGGAGGAUCCGCGCGUUAUCCGGAUUUAUUGGGUUUAAAGGGAGCGUAGAUGGGUUGUUAAGUCAGGUGGGAAAGUUUGCGGCUCAACCGUAAUAUUGCAGUUGAUACUGGCAGUCUUGAGUAAAGGUGAGGUAUGCGGAAUGCGUGGUGUAGCGGUGAAAUGCUUAGAGAUCACGAAGAACUCCGAUUGCGAAGGCAGCUUA